rnacentral:rRNA from 1 species
GCUUGGGGUGCUCGAAAGAGAACCUGGACACAGGUGCUGCAUGGCUGUCGUCAGCUCGUGUCGUGAGAUGUUGGGUUAAGUCCCGCAACGAGCGCAACCCUUGUCAUUAGUUGCUACAUUUAGUUGGGCACUCUAAUGAGACUGCCGGUGACAAACCGGAGGAAGGUGGGGAUGACGUCAAGUCCUCAUGGCCCUUAUGGGUAGGGCUUCACACGUCAUACAA